GAUGAACGCUGGCGGCGUGCCUAAUACAUGCAAGUCGAGCGAACAGAUGAGGAGCUUGCUCCCCUGACGUUAGCGGCGGACGGGUGAGUAACACGUGGAUAACCUACCUAUAAGACUGGGAUAACUUCGGGAAACCGGAGCUAAUACCGGAUAAUAUAUUGAACCGCAUGGUUCAAUAGUGAAAGACGGUUUUGCUGUCACUUUUAGAUGGAUCCGCGCCGCAUUAGCUAGUUGGUAAGGUAACGGCUUACCAAGGCAACGAUGCGUAGCCGAUCUGAGAGGGUGAUCGGCCACACUGGAACUGAGACACGGUCCAGACUCCUACGGGAGGCAGCAGUAGGGAAUCUUCCGCAAUGGGCGAAAGCCUGACGGAGCAACGCCGCGUGAGUGAUGAAGGUCUUCGGAUCGUAAAACUCUGUUAUUAGGGAAGAACAAAUGUGUAAGUAAAUAUGCACGUCUUGACGGUACCUAAUCAGAAAGCCACGGCUAACUACGUG
rnacentral:rRNA from 1 species